AGGGUUUGAUCCUGGCUCAGAACGUACGCUGGCGGCACGCCUAACACAUGCAAGUCGAACGAAGUAGCAAUACUUAGUGGCAGACGGGUGAGUAACAUGUAGGUAUCUGCCCUUUGGCCUGGAAUAACACGAGGAAACUUGUGCUAAUACCGGAUAAGUCUUUACGGAGAAAGCUUUAUGCACCAUUGGAUGAGCCUGCACUUGAUUAGUUUGUUGGUGGGGUAAUGGCCUACCAAGACGAUGAUCAAUAGCUGAUUUGAGAGGAUGAUCAGCCACAUUGGGACUGAGACACGGCCCAAACUCCAACGGGAGGCAGCAGUGGGGAAUCUUGCACAAUGGAGGAAACUCUGAUGCAGCGAUGCCGCGUGAGUGAAGAAGGCCCUUGGGUUGUAAAGCUCUUUCGUCGGGGAAGAAAAUGACUGUACCCGAAUAAGAAGGUCCGGCUAACUUCGUGCCAGCAGCCGCGGUAAUACGAAGGGACCUAGCGUAGUUCGGAAUUACUGGGCUUAAAGAGUUCGUAGGUGGUUGAAAAAGUUGGUGGUGAAAUCCCAGAGCUUAACUCUGGAACUGCCAUCAAAACUUUUCAGCUAGAGUAUGAUAGAGGAAAGCAGAAUUUCUAGUGUAGAGGUGAAAUUCGUAGAUAUUAGAAAGAAUACCGAUUGCGAAGGCAGCUUUCUGGAUCAUUACUGACACUGA
rnacentral:rRNA from 1 species